rnacentral:rRNA from 1 species
UACGUAGGGGGCUAGCGUUGUCCGGAAUCAUUGGGCGUAAAGCGCGUGUAGGCGGUCCGGUAAGUCCGCUGUGAAAGUCGAGGGCUCAACCCUCGAAUGCCGGUGGAUACUGUCGGGCUUGAGUACGGGAGAGGCGAGUGGAAUUCCUGGUGUAGCGGUGAAAUGCGCAGAUAUCAGGAAGAACACCCGUGGCGAAGGCGGCUCUCUAGUACGGUACUGACGCUGAGACGCGAAAGCGUGGGGAGCGAACAGG